AUUGAACGCUGGCGGCAUGCCUUACACAUGCAAGUCGAACGGUAACAGGGAGCUUGCUCCGCUGACGAGUGGCGAACGGGUGAGUAAUGUAUCGGAACGUACCUUUCAGUGGGGGAUAACGUAGCGAAAGUUACGCUAAUACCGCAUAUUCUGUGAGCAGGAAAGCAGGGGAUCGCAAGACCUUGCGCUGAUUGAGCGGCCGAUAUCAGAUUAGCUAGUUGGUGAGGUAAAGGCUCACCAAGGCGACGAUCUGUAGCGGGUCUGAGAGGAUGAUCCGCCACACUGGAACUGAGACACGGUCCAGACUCCUACGGGAGGCAGCAGUGGGGAAUUUUGGACAAUGGGGGCAACCCUGAUCCAGCCAUGCCGUGUGAGUGAAGAAGGCCUUCGGGUUGUAAAGCUCUUUCGGCCGGGAAGAAAUCGCAUGGGUUAAUACCCUGUGCGGAUGACGGUACCGGCAUAAGAAGCACCGGCUAACUACGUGCCAGCAGCCGCGGUAAUACGUAGGGUGCGAGCGUUAAUCGGAAUUACUGGGCGUAAAGCGUGCGCAGGCGGUUUUGUAAGACAGGCGUGAAAUCCCCGGGCUCAACCUGGGAACUGCGCUUGUGACUGCAAGGCUAGAGUAUGGCAGAGGGGGGUGGAAUUCCACGUGUAGCAGUGAAAUGCGUAGAGAUGUGGAGGAAUACCAAUGGCGAAGGCAGCCCCCUGGGCCAAUACUGACGCUCAUGCACGAAA
rnacentral:rRNA from 1 species